rnacentral:rRNA from 1 species
GCAGUAGCCGCGGGAAUACGGAGGGUGCAAGCGUUAUCCGGAUUUAUUGGGUUUAAAGGGUCCGUAGGCGGACUUAUAAGUCAGUGGUGAAAGCCUGUCGCUUAACGAUAGAACUGCCAUUGAUACUGUAAGUCUUGAGUAUAUUUGAGGUAGCUGGAAUAAGUAGUGUAGCGGUGAAAUGCAUAGAUAUUACUUAGAACACCAAUUGCGAAGGCAGGUUACCAAGAUAUAACUGACGCUGAGGGACGAAAGCGUGGGUAGCGAACAGGAUUAGAUACCCCCGUAGUCCCUGUCUCUUAUAC